rnacentral:rRNA from 1 species
UACGUAGGGUGCAAGCGUUAAUCGGAAUUACUGGGCGUAAAGCGUGCGCAGGCGGUUGUGCAAGACAGAUGUGAAAUCCCCGGGCUUAACCUGGGAACUGCAUUUGUGACUGCACGGCUAGAGUGCGGCAGAGGGGAUGGAAUUCCGCGGUGUAGCAGUGAAAUGCGUAGAUAUGCGGAGGAACACCGAUGGCGAAGGCAAUCCCCUGGGCCUGCACUGACGCUCAUGCACGAAAGCGUGGGGAGCAAACAG